UCUUGGAGAGUUUGAUCCUGGCUCAGGAUGAACGCUGGCGGCGUGCCUUAGACAUGCAAGUCGAACGAAGCAUCUUUCUCCGAUCCCUUCGGGGUGAAGAGACUGAUGACUUAGUGGCGAACGGGUG
rnacentral:rRNA from 1 species